UAGAAUUUAAGCAUGGGAUCCGAUUUUUUUUAUAAGUAAAAAAUAUAUUUAAGCUCAAAAGAAGCAACCCAAGUACAUAGGGAGUGUACAAGUGUAAGCAUGGAGAAUGGGUUAUUAUUCCUAAACUGUGCUGAUUCUUGGCAACUGCCUGGAAGGAAGAUGAACAAAUGUCUCUUGAUUUGAAUGUGUUAGUUUUGCUCAACAAUGGAACAUGGAUGGUUUUAGGAAGCAAAAUUCAUAACUAUUAGUUUCUUGUAGAAAUGGAAAUAUGCAUGAACAGGCAUGCAUCAUGAACAAUAAACAUCUUCUAAAAUCUUUCCCCAUCCAGAAACAAAGAGAAACACUUAUUUUUUUUUAUUCUUUUAUUGGCAAGUUAUGCUGGCACCUAGUGCAUUUUGAACCCACCACAUCAUUCUCCAUUCCAUUUCUAGGGUGGAGAAUAUCAUUUGAUCAAGAGCUUGUUGGCAAAACAAAAGGGGAUGCUAUAUGCAUGUGUUUAAAUUUUUGUAACCUGAAUAAUAUAGUGGAGCAGCAAGUGGCACCUUUUGGGUGUGGGAUGUUCGUCUAACCUCUAUCAAUAUUGAUCAACGAUUCUUAUUUACCUGGCUGCACUGCAUUUUCAAAAGCUUCCUGUCGAACUGUAAUGACCCGGCCAAUAAUUCUAAUGUCGGAAUAUUGAUAAUUUUUAUUGGGCCUAAAUUAUAUUUAAUGUGCUAUAUUGAAUAAGCCCACGAACGAUAAAUUAUUGAUGUUGAUUAGGAGUGUUAAUUAGGCUCAAUAACUAGGUUAAAUUCUAUUUGUUAUUUAUUUAACGAGUUAGACUCCUUUUAAAAUUUAAAGAUCGGCCAUUAUAAAUUUAUUUCAAUUUAUAAUCAUCAUUGAUUGAAGUUCCCUAUGCAGUCUUAGUCACUGCCAAUCGUACAUUAAAUGACUUACUAGAUCAUGUUUUUAAAUUCAAACUCUCUUCUUGAAUGAUCGUGACCGAGUCGAACUCGAACUCGAACUAGUCGACACCCUCUCCCAAAUCUCUCUAUUAAUAUCCCUUUCGAUUGUUAUUUGGAAAAACCAUAAACCUCAGUAAGUGCAAUGGCCGAACCAUAUAUAUCCAGUUCAACACCAUGUGUGAUACCCCAUAUGAUAAAGAUAAGGGUAUGUGGUGUAUGAGAUCUCAUAUUGUUUGGGAAUGAGAAGUUCUUGCUCUUUAUAAGAUUUCAAUGGGGUUGUAAUUAUAUCAUUGAUUAGUUCUUUUGGAAUAUAUGCCAUGUGAUUAGGGCCUUCCAUUGAAGCAUUA